CCAAUGGCACGUCCAGCACGAUGUCCGCCAUGUCAUCGUAGACCCGCAUGAAGCCCUGCAAGCAAACCCAACAACAAUAAUAGAAAAUUUAAUGCGCGGUUUCCCAUUCCCUGGCACUGCUACAUACAUACAUAUAAUAUUUGCAAUUUUGGCAAAACGGACUAACUCAAUAGUUUAAGCAAUCUGGCAACACUGAACAACUGGAAA